AACGCACAUUGCGCCCGCCAGUGUUCUGGCGGGCAUGCCUGUUCGAGCGUCAUUUCCACCAUCGGGUCCCCGGGCCUGUGUUGGGGACCUGCGGCUGCCCGCAGGCCCCGAAAUUCAGUGGCGGUCACGCCGUAGCAACCGAGCGUAGUAACUAAAACGUCUCGCUCUGGCUCGCUGGGCGCGCUCCGGCCGUAAAACACCCCCCCUUUUCGCAAAGGUUGACCUCGGAUCAGGUAGGAGUACCCGCUGAACUUAA
rnacentral:misc_RNA from 1 species